rnacentral:rRNA from 1 species
CCUACGGGAGGCAGCAGUGAGGAAUAUUGGUCAAUGGACGAGAGUCUGAACCAGCCAAGUAGCGUGAAGGAUGACUGCCCUAUGGGUUGUAAACUUCUUUUAUAUGGGAAUAAAAUGUUCCACGUGUGGGAUUUUGUAUGUACCAUAUGAAUAAGGAUCGGCUAACUCCGUGCCAGCAGCCGCGGUAAUACGGAGGAUCCGAGCGUUAUCCGGAUUUAUUGGGUUUAAAGGGAGCGUAGGUGGAUUGUUAAGUCAGUUGUGAAAGUUUGCGGCUCAACCGUAAAAUUGCAGUUGAAACUGGCAGUCUUGAGUACAGUAGAGGUGGGCGGAAUGCGUGGUGUAGCGGGGAAAUGCUUAGAUAUCACGAAGAACGCAGAUUGCGAAGGCAGCUCAAUGGACGGCAACUGACACUGAGGCUCGAAAGUGUGGGUAUAAAACAGGAUUAGAUACCCUAGUAGUC